GUAAUAUUUCAGGUACAAAUUCUACUAGUACGAUUCGAUGCAGUGGAAGAGGUUGAAGUUGACGUUUAAGCAGUCACCCUGCCGAACAAGAAAUCAGUCAGGCAAAGAGGCUAGGUUGACUAGAAACUCAAUCACUAUAUCCGUGAAACUUGCUGGAAGCUAUGUGUGGAGGUCGGACCGAAACUGUAAUCAGACACUAAACAUUAACGAGGACCAAUUAUUUUACUCCCUUAAUGAUGAAUAAAGAUCGCUGAUUGCUUUUACUAAUAUAUAGUGUUAAAAUGAAAGAGAAACUGUUGAGACGAAAGAGAAAAACGCACUCAUUUAUUUAUAGUUUUAUGUCUUAACAAUGUUAUUCGAAAGCUAAUUUUAAAAGCUGGCUCUGAAUCCUUGCUAAAUGAUUUGGGAAAGUGUAAGGGCUAAAUAUGCCUGUAGACAUCAUUUUCAGUGGGUUUUAUGAAGUUUAUGAUUAGGGUAUAUUUUGGGACUGAAAUAAGCGCAAGACCUUCGACGUUUCUAUUCCUACUGUUUUUUUAAUUUAGCAAAUAUACAAAAAAAAAUUACACUGUCGUAAAGAUAAAAUGUUUAGUUAUCGGAUAGAUACUUUAAAAUUAAGUAUUAAAAUAACCGAGCUAAGAUAUUCAAUGUUAAACUCAAAAAUGUUCACGCGUUUAUGAAGAAAUAUUUAA